GGCAACGUGGCUGAGUGGUUAAAGCGUAUGACUAGAAUUUAUGUGAUAAAUGUAUCAUAUCCAGGCUUAUCAUAUCCCUUCGGGGUCACAGGUUCGAGUCCUGUCGUUGUCG